AUCCUGUUUUGAUUUUCACUAGCCUAACUUUUAUUUUUAUUGGGCUGAAGGAACAGUCAGUGGGUACAGGUUCCGUCCUCGUCGGCUAUUCACGUUCAAGCGCAAAGUUGCUUACGAUUCUUGCGGAGAUCUUGGUGUUCGCCUCCGCGUCUUGCAGAUGGCUUAUCUUUCCAUCGACAGUCCGUGGAUGGAUAAACCUAAUGGGAUAAACCUGUAACCUCCACCGGGAUUAAUGGCAGGCUUAUUCAUAUCGCUGAUGUUUCAUUAGAAUAUUCUCCUGAAUUUGAAUGUGUUUAGAAACUUGCCAAAUUGACAUCUAAUUUUGAUUCAAAUUUGGGGUAUGACGCUUCUAUCGGUGUUCCACUCCCUACAAAUCAUCGACAGACAGUCACAGGAUAAGAUAAAAGUGUCAUUUUGUAAUAAGGGAUCCUGUCAAUCAUAAUCUUUUGGAUUUUCCUCCACUAAUUUACCGCGCAAAAUGGAUGCCAGCGACGGGCUAUCAGAACACAACAUGAAUAAGUAUUCAGCCAUUUGAACGCCACCUCAAAAGUGGGAAUAACGAGGGAUACGUCGAGACGGGGCUGCGGUCGGGAAAGGGAAUGAAGAAGCUCUCGGCAGGUGGAGGAGCGUCACUCUGCUGUCUGCUGCUCCUGUGGGCCAUCCACUCCCAUCGCCUGAGAGAGGGCCAGUUGGCUGUGGGCACCUGUGAGAUUGUGAUGCUCAACAGAGACAGCAGCGUGCCAAGAUGCACCAUCGCCCGUCAGACUGCCCGCUGUGCCUGCAGGAGAGGCCAGAUCGCUGGCACCACGAAGGCCAGGCCAGCCUGCGUCGACGUGCGUAUAGUAAGGAGUAGACAGUGGUGUGAGAUGGCACCCUGCUUGGAGGGAGAGAUGUGCGGCCUCCUCUUCAACCGCUCUGGUUGGACCUGUACCAAAGGCAGUGGCCACAUCAAGACAGUCACGCCUUUGCCUAAGGAACCAUCGUAAGGAGUUUAGAACACAGUGGGUAGAGAUAACAAAAUGUAUCAUAUACCAGAGAUGGGGAGAAAAAGGGAAAUUGGGUUUUUUUUGCCAAUCAUGGCAGAAGGGGAACAGAGGGCACACACUUUUUUCUCAAACCACUACACACCCCCACUCCACAGACCAGAGGAGCCCUACUAUGUGACAGUGCACAGAUGUCCGUACUAGCCAAUGAAAGCAACACACCACAGCAUCAUCAUCGGGACCCACAUGCCACGUCACAAACUGAAGUACAAAUCCUACUGUAUAUAGCCUGGGUUGUUUCAGCAUGGCAAGCAGGAUAUCAUUGGGAGUCUAUGCAUGUGUGGGGAACCAAGCAUUUUUCUACCUGGUGUGACUUGGACAAUAGUUUGUUGUGUCUAGGUGUUGGAGGAGAAACUCUUGGAUGGAUUUGUCAGUGACUAUCUAACUUGACAUUGACAGAACAUUGUUUAUCUGGUACAUAGGACUGUCUGUCAUGAGGCACUUACUGAUAGACACCUGCCUGGCCCUUUAUCGUGUGUGUGUGUGUGUGUGUGUGUGUGUGUGUGUGUGUGUGUGUGUGUGUGUGUGUGUGUGUGUGUGUGUGUGUGUGUGUGUGUGUGCCUCCUGAUAUACAAUGGGAACAAGUUGACAUAAUCUUGUUAAGUGUGACACAUCCAGGAUUGUACUUCUGUCUAGAACUUUGUCACUUUACCUGAAGCUCACUUUCUUGCAAACUUGUAUAAUCAUGUUUUAGGGGAUGAUCAUGGAUGUAAAGCAUCAUUAUAACAGAAUCAUGUCUUUUCAAUACAUAAAUAUAUAUAGAAAGAUCUACGUCACAUAAGUUAAAAACAGUAGGUAUGUCCGUCAAUGUGUAUUAUCAAUUAAUAUUUCAAAGUUAUGGUUUAAAUUGCCUAUGUUUUAAUAUGAAGCUCAUUGUAAGUGGCACACCUCCACACUACAUCAAAGUGCUGCUGUUUAUAUUGGAUAUAAUGUGUACAUUCACCGUGUAUACUGUUCCGUGAAUAUUUUUUACUUGAAUUUAUGUUACAGGAAUAUAAGAGAGUGAGCAUCACAGAAAGAGUGAGAUCAUAAGGAUAUUGUACACAUAUCACUGACAUGUGGUUAUUUUCCUUCGAAAAACACGAGGAUAAAGAGACAGCCUCUCAUCCCUGGGGCUAAUUUAAUUGUGUGUGAAUGUAGUCACGUGUGAAUGUAGUCACGUGUCUUGAUGCUUGAUUCACAGUGAUAACUUUUACAUGCGCACAGUAUUCCGGAUAGUAGCUCAUAUCCCAGUUAAGGUCUUAUUCAGGAUAAGAUGUUUACAUGCACCUUUGAUAUCCCGCUCACAAGUAUCCCUUUAUCCAUGAAUAAACGAAAUAUUCAUAAUUUG